GAUGAAGAACGCAGCGAAAUGCGAUAAGUAAUGUGAAUUGCAGAAUUCAGUGAAUCAUCGAAUCUUUGAACGCACAUUGCGCCCGCCAGUAUUCUGGCGAGCAUGCCUGUUCGAGCGUCAUUUCAACCAUCAAGCCCCAGGCUUGUGUUGGAGCCCUGCGGCUGCCGCAGCCUCCCAAAACCAGUGGCGGGCUCGCUAUCACACCGAGUGCAGUAGUUUACUCUUCGCUCAGGGCGUGCGGCGGGCUCCUGCCGUGAAACCCCCCACUGUAACCCCAAAGGUUGACCUCGGAUCAGGUAGGAAUACCCGCUGAACUUAAGCAUAUCAAUAAGCGGAGGA
rnacentral:misc_RNA from 1 species